AAUGAACAGAGAAAAGUUGGAGAUCACGUAGCAUUUUCUUCUUGUUAAGGUAAGUGGGAGGUUUUUCACCUUUUCCAGCUAUAUUCAGCUGAAAUAUACUUCUGCUGCAUUUAACUUCAUUGGUAAUAAUAAAGCUGAAUAGAGAGCAAAACAAAUUUACUCCAAAAUAUUUACUCCAAAAAGGUCAUUCAGUCAUACUCUAAGAUAGGAACCCAUUUCUCUCUCAUUUACAAUUCCAGUUGAAGUUUUUAAAGUAUCAUUGACAUGUCCAUGUAUUCUCUUACCAAAGACUAAGGAAGAUUUUUCAAAAUUAAUGCAUUGUCCAGAAGCUUUUCCAUAGAUCCUAAAUGUUUUUAUGAUUUCAUCGCAUUCACGUGGCUCCGCCUUGCAGAAAAACAGGCUAUCAUCAGCAAGAGAAGGUAUGAUAUCGGAGGGCUAGCGCGUGAAACACGCAUCCCCGUUAUUUUUCCUUGAUUCUCAUCAUGAUUUAGAAGGCUUACGAGUACUCCCAUGCAUAAAAUAAAUAUGAAAGGAGAUAAAAGAUCUCCUUGUCGCAAACCCGUUUUGGAGUUAUAUUUUCUCUUGGCUGACUAUUGAAUAAGAC
rnacentral:lncRNA from 1 species